GAUGAAGAACGUAGCGAAAUGCGAUACGUAAUGUGAAUUGCAGAAUUCAGUGAAUCAUCGAGUCUUUGAACGCACAUUGCGCCCCCUGGUAUUCCGGGGGGCAUGCCUGUCCGAGCGUCAUUGCUGCCCUCAAGCACGGCUUGUGUGUUGGGCCCGAAAGGCAGCGGCGGCACCGCGUCCGGUCCUCGAGCGUAUGGGGCUUCGUCACCCGCUCCGUAGGCCCGGCCGGCGCCCGCCGGCGACCCCCCCUCAAUCUUUCCAGGUUGACCUCGGAUCAGGUAGGGAUACCCGCUGAACUUAAGCAUAUCAAUAAGCGGAGGA
rnacentral:misc_RNA from 1 species